GAUGAAGAACGUAGUGAAAUGCGAUAAGUAAUGUGAAUUGCAGAAUUCAGUGAAUCAUCGAAUCUUUGAACGCACAUUGCGCCCGCCAGUAUUCUGGCGGGCAUGCCUGUUCGAGCGUCAUUACAACCCUCAGGCCCCCGGGCCUGGCGUUGGGGAUCGGCGGAAGCCCCCUGCGGGCACAACGCCGUCCCCCAAAUACAGUGGCGGUCCCGCCGCAGCUUCCAUUGCGUAGUAGCUAACACCUCGCAACUGGAGAGCGGCGCGGCCACGCCGUAAAACACCCAACUUCUGAAUGUUGACCUCGAAUCAGGUAGGAAUACACGCUGAACUUAAGCAUAUCAAUAAGCGGAGGA
rnacentral:misc_RNA from 1 species